UCUGCGGAAUUCCUUCGGGGAGGAAGUAGUUAUGACUGAGUGGCGGACGGGUGAGUAACGCGUGGGCAAUCUGCCCCAUACCGGGGGACAACAGCUGGAAACGGCUGCUAAUACCGCAUACGUUCCGGAAACCGCAUGGUUUCUGGAAGAAAACUCCGGUGGUAUGGGAUGGGCCCGCGUCUGAUUAGCUGGUUGGCGGGGUAACGGCCCACCAAGGCGACGAUCAGUAGCCGGCCUGAGAGGGCGGCCGGCCACAUUGGGACUGAGACACGGCCCAGACUCCUGCGGGAGGCAGCAGUGGGGAAUAUUGCACAAUGGGGGAAACCCUGAUGCAGCGACGCCGCGUGAGCGAGGAAGUACCUCGGUAUGUAAAGCUCUAUCAGCAGGGAAGAAAGUGACAGUACCUGACUAAGAAGCCCCGGCUAACUACGUGCCAGCAGCCGCGGUAAUACGUAGGGGGCAAGCGUUAUCCGGAUUCACUGGGCGUAAAGGGAGCGCAGGCGGCACGGCAAGUCUGAUGUGAAAACCCAGGGCUCAACCCUGGACUGCAUUGGAAACUGCCGGGCUGGAGUGUCGGAGGGGUAAGCGGAAUUCCUAGUGUAGCGGUGAAAUGCGUAGAUAUUAUGAGGAACACCAGUGGCGAAGGCGGCUUACUGG
rnacentral:rRNA from 1 species